rnacentral:rRNA from 1 species
UACGGGGGGAGCAAGCGUUGUUCGGAUUUACUGGGCGUAAAGGGCGCGUAGGCGGCCAGCACAAGUCAGUUGUGAAAUCUCCGAGCUUAACUCGGAAAGGUCAACUGAUACUGUGCGGCUAGAGUGCGGAAGGGGCAACUGGAAUUCUUGGUGUAGCGGUGAAAUGCGUAGAUAUCAGGAGGAACACCGGUGGCGAAGGCGGGUCUCUGGGCCGAUACUGACGCUGAGGAGCGAAAGCGUGGGGAGCGAACAGG